AUAAUAACAUAUGUAUGAAUAUAUGCGAUUUGAAUUUUAUAUAAAGGAUGUGUUCCUCAAGUCCCCUCAGGUGUUCUGCAUAUGGAGUCCGGACCCUCUUUAUUUUGGCACUCCUUAGUUUUUUCCAAUUAUCAAAACAGGGGGGCCCUAGGCAACUGCUAAUCCGGC